rnacentral:rRNA from 1 species
GUUGAUGGCUAAAUCACUUUGAAUGCGCCCGAUCUUGACCCAUCUCGGAGGCCAAGCUGGUUUUGGCCGGCAGUGCUUGGAUGGGCGAUCGCCGUGCAUGACACAGGUGCUGUGGGCU